CUUGAAAUUUAUAGGAGGUAUAACCUGCCCACUGAAAAUGUUAAAGGGCCGCGGUAUUUUGACCGUGCAAAGGUAGCAUAAUCAUUAGUCUUCUAAUUAAAGGCUGGAAUGAAUGGUUGAACGAGGUAUUAGCUGUCUCUUUGAAAUUGUCUUGAAUUUAACUUUCUAGUGAAAAGGCUGGAAUAAAAUUGGAGGACGAGAAGACCCUAUAGAGCUUCACAUUUAAGUUUGUUUUAAUUUAUUUAGUAGGAGUAUAAUUUUAUAAACGGGAUGUUUCGUUGGGGUGACGGGGAGAUAAAAUAAACUCUCUUUAAGCUAAAACACAAAUUAGUGAAUAUUUGAUCCAUUUUUAAUGAUUAAAAGAUUAAGUUACCUUAGGGAUAACAGCGUAAUCUUUUUUGAGAGUUCUAAUCGACAAAAAGGGUUGCGACCUCGAUGUUGGACUAAGGGUUAUUCUUGGGUGUAGAAGUUCAAGGUUUAAGUCUGUUCGACUUUUGAAUCCUUA
rnacentral:rRNA from 1 species